rnacentral:rRNA from 1 species
AGCUCCAAUAGCGUAUAUUAAAGUUGUUGCAGUUAAAAAGCUCGUAGUUGGAUUUCUGAUAAGAAUGGCCGGUCCGGACUUUCGGGUCCGUGUACUUUGUGCUUGUUCUCGUCAUCCUUAUAGAGAACGUGUGUUGGCAUUAAGUUGUCGGAUACGGGACCUAUAUCAUUUACUGUGAAAAAAUUAGAGUGUUCAAAGCAGGCAAUGGCUAUGAAUACAUUAGCAUGGAAUAAUAAGAUAGGACUUUGGUACUAUUUUGUUGGUUUGCAUACCAAAGUAAUGAUUAAGAGGGACAGUUGGGGGUAUUCGUAUUUAAUUGUCAGAGGUGAAAUUCUUGGAUUUAUGAAAGACGAACUACUGCGAAAGCAUUUACCAAGGAUGUUUUCAUUAAUCAAGAACG